rnacentral:rRNA from 1 species
GAUGAACGCUGGCGGCGUGCCUAAUACAUGCAAGUCGAGCGAACGGACGAGAAGCUUGCUUCUCUGAUGUUAGCGGCGGACGGGUGAGUAACACGUGGAUAACCUACCUAUAAGACUGGGAUAACUUCGGGAAACCGUAGCUAAUACCGGAUAAUAUUUUGAACCGCAUGGUUCAAAAGUGAAAGACGGUCUUGCUGUCACUUAUAGAUGGAUCCGCGCUGCAUUAGCUAGUUGGUAAGGUAACGGCUUACCAAGGCAACGAUGCAUAGCCGACCUGAGAGGGGGAUAGGCCACACUGGAGCGGAGACACGGACCAGGCUCCUACGGGAGGCAGCAGUAGGGAAUCUUCCGCAAUGGGCGAAAGCCUGACGGAGCAACGCCGCGUGAGUGAUGAAGGUCUUCGGAUCGUAAAACUCUGUUAUUAGGGGAGAACAUAUGUGUAAGUAACUGUGCACAUCUUGACGGUACCUAAUCAGAAAGCCACGGCUAACUACGUG